rnacentral:tRNA from 1 species
GGGGUUGUGGCUUAGUGGUAGAGUGCUUGCUUAGCACGUGAGAGGCCUUGAGUUCAAUCCUCAGCACCA